GGAAACAGUAUCUUCCUUCGGGACAGAGAGACAGGUGGUGCAUGGUUGUCGUCAGCUCGUGUCGUGAGAUGUUGGGUUAAGUCCCGCAACGAGCGCAACCCUUAUGGAUAGUUACUACGGAAGAGGACUCUAUUCAGACUGCCGUUGACAAAACGGAGGAAGGUGGGGAUGACGUCAAAUCAUCAUGCCCUUUAUGACUUGGGCUACACACGUACUACAAUGGCGUUCAACAAAGAGAAGCGAAGCCGCGAGGCAGAGCAAAACUCAAAAACAACGUCCCAGUUCAGAUUGCAGGCUGCAACUCGCCUGCAUGAAGUCGGAAUUGCUAGUAAUCGCAGAUCAGCAUGCUGCGGUGAAUACGUUCCCGGGCCUUGUACACACCGCCCGUCACACCAUGAGAGCCGGGGGGACCCGAAGUCGGCAGUCUAACCGCAAGGAGGACGCCGCCGAAGGUAAAACUGGUGAUUGGGGUGAAGUCGUAACAAGGUAGCCGUAGGAGAACCUGCGGCUGGAUCACCUCCUUUCUAGGGAG
rnacentral:rRNA from 1 species